AAAUUGAAGAGUUUGAUCAUGGCUCAGAUUGAACGCUGGCGGCAGGCCUAACACAUGCAAGUCGAGCGGUAGCACAGAGAGCUUGCUCUCGGGUGACGAGCGGCGGACGGGUGAGUAAUGUCUGGGAAACUGCCUGAUGGAGGGGGAUAACUA
rnacentral:rRNA from 2 species